rnacentral:sRNA from 2 species
UCAUCUUCUUCAAUAUUAAAUACAUUUUUGAAUUUAUUUUUAAAUUUAUCACGUUUUGAUCUGAUUUUUUCUAAAUCGACACUUCUUCUCGUCUUACGUGCAUAUUCUGAUGUUUUAUCUUGAAGUUG